CGUAAAGAGCUCGUAGGUGGUUUGUCGCGUUGUUCGUGAAAUCUCACGGCUUAACUGUGAGCGUGCGGGCGAUACGGGCAGACUUGAGUACUGCAGGGGAGACUGGAAUUCCUGGUGUAGCGGUGGAAUGCGCAGAUAUCAGGAGGAACACCGGUGGCGAAGGCGGGUCUCUGGGCAGUAACUGACGCUGAGGAGCGAAAGCGUGUGGAGCGAACAGGAUUAGAUACCCUGGUAGUCCACGCCGUAAACGGUGGGUACUAGGUGUGGGUUUCCUUCCUUGGGAUCCGUGCCGUAGCUAACGCAUUAAGUACCCCGCCUGGGGAGUACGGCCGCAAGGCUAAAACUCAAAGAAAUUGACGGGGGCCCGCACAAGCGGCGGAGCAUGUGGAUUAAUUCGAUGCAACGCGAAGAACCUUACCUGGGUUUGACAUGCACAGGACGCCGGCAGGGAUGUCGGUUCCCUUGUGGCCUGUGUGCAGGUGGUGCAUGGCUGUCGUCAGCUCGUGUCGUGAGAUGUUGGGUUAAGUCCCGCAACGAGCGCAACCCUUGUCUCAUGUUGCCAGCGGGUAAUGCCGGGGACUCGUGAGAGACUGCCGGGGUCAACUCGGAGGAAGGUGGGGAUGACGUCAAGUCAUCAUGCCCCUUAUGUCCAGGGCUUCACACAUGCUACAAUGGCCGGUACAAAGGGCUGCGAUGCCGCGAGGUUAAGCGAAUCCUUUUAAAGCCGGUCUCAGUUCGGAUCGGGGUCUGCAACUCGACCCCGUGAAGUCGGAGUCGCUA
rnacentral:rRNA from 1 species